UCGUCAGCUCCACAUGUCAAUCGUUGAUUCGAGCACGAAUGACGAGUGCAGAUGGUGAGA
rnacentral:pre_miRNA from 1 species